CUCUGUUCCAUGGUCUCCUCUUUUGUUAUUGAACACUUUAAAGGUGGCAGAAAAAACAAAACAAAACACCGUUCUUAGCUUGCAGCAGUCCAAAACUAGGCCUUGGGCCAGUCAGAUUUGGCCUACAGGCUAUGUGGCUUGCUGACCCCUGUCACAGAGGAAUUCAUCUUUUUUUUUCCAGUAGUUGUAUAGUUUAAAUUGUACAAUUAAAUCUCUCAUCAAUUUGAAAAUUAUCCUGGCAUAGUGUGAGAAACAGAUCCACUUUUUCCUGUAUAGCUAUAUAUUUAUAUGUAGCUAUAUAACUAUAUCCAGUUAUCUCAACACCCUUCAUUUUUAUAAUCCAUCUUUUCCCCCACUGACUUAGGGCACCACCUUUAUUGUAUCCUGAACUUUCAUAUGCAAUUGGGCCUGUUUCAGAAUUUUCUAUAUCGUUCCAUUAAUCUAUGCAUGCACCUAUACCACACUUUCAGAGUUGUGUUUUAUGUUUUAAUAUGUAGUGGGACUAGCCCUCCUCCUACCAAGUGCUCUCUUAAAAGGUUUUCCUCGGGCUGCUCUUGUUCAUUUGUUCUUCCAAAUGAACUUUACAAUCAAUGUGUCAAGCUCCAGAAAAAAAACUGAUGGCAUUGUGGGGGUCCCAUAAAAUCUUUCUGCAGAGUACACAGGCCCAGAUUUUAAACUACUUAUUAAAUUUGUUUAAUGUUACAAAACUAAUCAAGCAUUCUAUUUCCCCUGAAUGAGUUUUGAGAAAUUAUUUUCCCUAGGAAUUUUGUCUAAGCUUUCAAAUAUAUUGGCUUAAGUUGUUCAUAUUCAUAACUUUAUCUAUGAGAGUUAUCUGAUACCUGGAUUGAAGGCUCAUUCCUCCAGAGAGAAUUUGUGGUUGCUUCUAGUAGUUAUCUGGGGUUACAACUGGCUUGGGUCUACUGUAAAUUAAAUUUCCUCAUGCAGUAUUUUGCAACAUACAAGUAGCAUAAAUUUGAGGCCCAACUCUCUAUGUAAGGGACAACUUGUUAAACAUUUUUAGGUUGGUGAGACAGGAACAGCUUUUCCUCCACCCAGGGCCAAGGUCAAGAAAGGCAAUUUUCCUUGCUGUUAUUUCUGCUUGGUGGCUUAUUUAGUGUUUACCUUUACACAGUAAGGGUAGCACUUGGAGGGUCCCCACUUUGUGGGAGAUCUCAGAUUAAACUUCCUGCCUUGAGCAGGCCCUGCUUUACCUCCUGCAUCCAUCUCAGUCAGCACAACAGAGGCUCAGGGUAAUCAGGGCUUACCCUGAUCUUCAAGGUAAAAGAUGGCUUUUGUCUUACUUGCUUUCCCAGGUUUAAGCUUUCAUGUCAUUUUUUUUAAUUUUUAUUUUAUUUUUUUAAUUAUACUUUAAGUUUUAGGGUACAUGUGCACAUUGUGCAGGUUACAUAUGUAUACAUGUGCCAUGCUGGUGCGCUGCACCCACUAACUCGUCAUCUAGC
rnacentral:lncRNA from 10 species